GCGGGUGUGGCGAAACUGGUAGACGCACUUGAUUUAGGUUCAAGCGCCGAGAGGCGUGGGGGUUCGACUCCCUCCACCCGCACCA
rnacentral:tRNA from 1 species